rnacentral:rRNA from 1 species
UACAGAGGGUGCAAGCGUUAAUCGGAUUUACUGGGCGUAAAGCGUGUGUAGGCGGCUUGGCAAGUUGGAUGUGAAAGCCCACGGCUCAACCGUGGAAGCGCACCCAAAACUGCUUCGCUCGAGUCUCGGAGAGGAAGGUGGAAUGCUUGGUGUAGAGGUGAAAUUCGUAGAUAUCAAGCAGAACACCUGCGGCGAAGGCGGCCUUCUGGACGAUGACUGACGCUGAGACACGAAAGCGUGGGGAGCAAACAGG